GCGCGACCCCGUGGGAACUCCCACAAGCCACUGGGCGCAGUUUUCAGAUGGGCUGGCUCAAGUUGCAUGCCGGGUUCUCCAGGAAGCGCCGUGCUUCUCCAGGUCUUUGCUUGUGACAACUGUUUUUUCCAGGACCACCGCGCCGGAAGUAGCACAUAGGCUUUUGGCUUAGGUCUCCCCAGAGGGAAGAAGCCUGAAGAAGAAUGGCCAGCUCCAGUUCUCAACACGUGGUCUGUGGGUCAGUGACAUUUAGGGAUGUGGCUGUUGACUUCUCUAAGGAGGAGUGGGCCUGCCUGGAUGCUACUCAGAAGGUCCUCUACAGGGACACAAUGUUGGAGACCUACCGCCACCUCGUCACAGUGGUGGGGAGUUGCCUUUCCAAGCCACAUCUGAUCACCUUACUAGAGCAGGAGAAAGAGCCCUGGAUGGCUGUGAAGGAAGAAACAGACAGGCCGAGCCCAGAAUUGGAAACAGAUUAUGAUGCUGGAAAUAUAUCUCCAGAAAAUCCUGUUAAUAAUAGAAGAUUUCCCAAACAGAGGGUAAAGCAAUUAGGUAGAACUUUUGACUUCAGGGGCUCCAUGUUUAGUAAUGGCCCCAACUAUAGUACAUUCCAUGGACUACAGGAUUGUCAAGGAGAUGCUGGUCAACAGAUGAUUAACAAGGAAGAAAUAACUAUUUAUACCAGCCAGACUCUUACUCACAAUGUAGAAAGAGCAUAUGAAUGUAAGGAGUGUGGGAAGUGCUUUGGUUGUAGGUCAACUCUCACUCAGCAUCAGAGUAUUCAUACUGGAGAGAAACCCUAUGACUGUAAGGAGUGUGGGAAGGCCUUCAGACUCCCCCAACAGCUUACAAGACAUCAGAAGUCUCACAGUGGUAAGAAAACUUCCAGUCAUGAGGAUAGAAAGGCUUUUCAACAUCCUAACCUACUCAAGUACCAUAAAACCAUUCAUACAAGUGCAAAAACAUUUGAAUGCAGGGAGUGUGGGAAGUCCUUCAACCGUGUCUCCAGCCUUGUUGAACAUAGGAUUAUUCAUGCAGAUGUGACACCAUAUGAAUGUAGUGAGUGUGGGAAAGCUUUUAAACGACAUAGAAGUUUUGUACGCCAUCAGAAAAUUCAUUCUGGUGAGAGACCUUUUCAGUGUAAGGACUGUGGGAAAGGCUUCAUUGUUCUGGCUCAUCUCACACGGCACCAGAGCAGUCAUAGUGAAGAGAAGCCAUUUGAAUGUGAAGAAUGUGGCAAGAAAUUCAGAACUUCCAGGCACCUUGUUAAGCACCAGCGUAUUCAUACUGGCGAGAAGCCCUUUGAAUGUAACAUAUGUGGGAGUGCUUUCCGGCUUCAAUUAUACCUUUCUGAGCAUCAAAAAACUCACAUGGAAGAGAAAUACUUGGAAUGCAAUGUAUGUGGGAAGGCUUUUCGGCUUCAGGUGUACCUUUCUGAGCAUCAGAAAACUCACACCGAAGAGAAUCCUUUCAAGUGUAAGCUCUGUGCGUCAGCCUUCCCAAAUAAGUACCAACUUAAUAAACAUCUCACAAUUCAUACUGAUGGGAAACCUUAUCAGUGCAAGGAAUGUGGGAAAUGCUUUCGUCAAAGGUCAAAAUUAGCUGAACAUGAGAGUAUUCACACUGGGAAGAAACCCUUUCAGUGUGAAGAAUGUGGGAAGUUCUUUAGACUUAACACACUUCUCAUUCAUCAUCAGAGAUCUCACAGUGGUGAGAGACCUUUUGAAUGUAAAGAAUGUGGAAAGGCUUUCCUUCUUCCCAGUCAACUUAACAGCCAUAAAAUUGUUCAUACAAGUAAGAGACCCUUUGAAUGCAAGGUAUGUGGGAAGUCCUUCAAGCGUGAAUCCAACCUCAUUCAACAUGGGGCUGUUCAUGCCGGUGUGAAAUCAUAUGAGUGCAGUGAGUGUGGGAAAGCUUUUAUUCACCGCUCAAGCCUGUUCCACCAUCGGAAAAUUCAUUCUGGUGAGAAACCUUUUAAGUGUCAGGAGUGUGGAAAGGCUUUCGUUGUUCUGGCAUACCUCAUUCAGCAUCAGAGCAUCCAUAAUGGAGAGAAAUCAUUUGAAUGUGAGCUGUGUGGGUCAGCCUUCAGAUGUAAAUCCCAACUCAAUAAACAUCAGAGAAUUCAUACUGAUGUGAAACUCUUUCAGUGUGUGGAAGAUUGAACAGAUAUUGUUCAUGGAACAGAGCUUGGAAUACAUCAGGGAAUCCAUACUGAAGGAUCCUGGUGUCCGCGCGUGUUCUUGCUGGCGAGACGAUAGCGCGCGACAUUUGGUGCCGAAACCCGGGACAAAUGCCUCACCAUCGCCGGCGCCGAAGAGAGCCUCCGCUCGUGGAGAGGGUCCAGAACUGCAGGUCGAGAGGUAAGCUCUGAGAGGCAUGUUUGGUCUUGAUACAGCAUGUCAGAAACAGAGCGAGGUGAAAGCUUUAAGAAGGAAAGGUGCACCUAAGAAAAAAGUCCCUUCCAAGGACUUUAGAUCCGAGGAAGCGAGAGAUAGGGGAAAGGACACCCCGGGAGAGAAACAGGGAAAGGAGGAGAAAGCCCCGAAAAGGAAAAGCCUUUAUCCGGUAAAGGAGUUAGAGGCUUUGGGGCUUGAUAGUUCAGAAACAGACGAGCUUAGCCCCUCUGAGGAAGAGGAUUUAGAAGAUGAGGCAGCUCGCUAUGAAGAAGAAAGAUAUGGGCCUAGGUGGAGAGCCACUGUGAAGAAACCGAAAGUUAUGGAUCCUUUGUGGGCAAGGCUGGUAAUUUUGUUUAUUUUUUCUUUGUGUGGGAAGCCGUUACAGCCAUUAGGACAGGUCAGAGGAUCCUUGCAGAGCAACAAGAAAGUAUGUCGGAGGGAGAAAAGGUCUCGAAAGAAAAAAAGAAAAGAAAAGGAGAUAAAAGGAACACAGUAUUUUGGGAGAAAAAUUUUGUCUUUGUGCUUGUAAAAGGUGUGAUUAGGCUCUGGAAACUUCACAGAGUCAUACUGAUCAGAUUUGAUCGAGGUAGACCGCCUGAAACAUUUACUCAGGAGAAUCAAACAAAAAGAUAUCUCAAUUCUCAACGCCCAUGCACAGCUUGAUGGAGUUAAUGUAAUUGGGUUGUGAGUAAAAAUACUCAGGACUGUGUUUCACUUCCAUACCAUUGGCGAAUGUCAGUCGUGCUGCUCAGAUAAUAUAUCUCAGUAUCUUACAGGUAUUGGGUUUCAACACGUUGAUGGACUAGUCCAGGAAUUGAGACAAUCCAUCGUCCAUAUCAACUCCACUCGAGUGGAUGGUCACCGUGGAAGUGGUGGGAAAGGGGAAAUCCUACCUCUCUGCUGACUCCUAUUGGAAUCUGGGUCCCUUUGCUGGGACACCAUCUAGUUUUUCCCCUUUGUCUAUUGUCUGUCCUUGGUGCACCAAGCUGUCCAUGUCUGUCAGUUUAUGUUUGUGGGUUUUGUUUCUCAUUGUUUAAAUGUUUUAUGUUUCAUGUUAAAAAAAAAUGGUAAAAACUUUAUCUGCCAGUCGUUCACACCUUGAUUUGGUUUUAACUCGUUUCAAAAAAGGAACAAAUGAAUAAAAAACAGUUUCAAUCAGUCCUUGGAGCCCUACAUCUGUAGCUAGAAGCCUAAGUCCGCUGGACAAGCUCCCCGGGGGCUGGCUAAAUGUUUAUACUAGCCUAUCCUAAAGGCACCAGGAGCUUCACAGCUUCUAUGGUAAUAAAACUGAUGGCUGUUUCUCUUAGAAAAUCUUUGACUGUGAUUAUUGGACUCAACCGGUGACAAGGUGCUUCUCUUAAAAUCACAGCUAGAAAAGUCAUAAUGGUGUUUGAUCUAAAUAUUGAAGAUAUGUGUAGCCACUUCAAUUUUGUUUCUGAUUGGUUCUAAAUGUAUAAUUAUUCUCUACAUGCCUUGGUUAUGGACUAUUGGCUUUUAAGUUAUUGGAUAUGGUUAAAAAGGUAUAAUAUUGGUAACAAAAAGUUGACAUAAAGCUGGUAAUUUGGAUAAAGUCAUUCUAGACAACAUGUGGCAUGAGCCAACCUAGGGAAACAGGUCUAAAUUGAGAUAAUAUUUUUAUGGAAUUCUUAUCCUAGAAACCAGGCUUCUAAAAGAAUUUAGGACAAUGUCUCUUUGUUGAGGUAUUGGAUACCGCACCAUGGUGUGUUGAUAUGUAGGAAUUGGCAGUAAAACUUGGUAGCAUGAAGGAUAGACUUGGUGUUUUGGAGACUGGAUUUUGGAGACUAGAUUGUUGGAGGUUGAGUUUUGCUUUCCAAAGUUGUGGUUUGCCCUGAAGUUAUCUGUAUUUUGAUGCUAAUUCCACUGCCCCAAGAACAGCUGCCUAGUCACUACUCGAGAGAACUCAGGUGACCUUGUGGUUGUGCUCUGGUGUUACAAGGAGAAAUUAAAGAUUGUGAUUAAGGAUUGCCAGUGUUAUAUUGACUAACUCAAACUUAUUUGUAAUUAAGAAAAAAUCAAACAGGUAGAGAUUGUUACAGGAUUUAUGAAGGAUUGAUGAGGUUUUGGAACUUGUGAGAGCAUUAUACAGCCAGUUUGUUUACUCCAACUGCCAUUUCAAGAUAGAUUUAGAGGAUUGAUUGUGAGUUUUCAUUUCGUGAGCUUGCUUAUAAUUUUAGAGAGCCCAUAAAGUGGUAUCAUUAAAAAUUUUACAAAAGAAUGGCUAACAGCCUUGUAUUAUGUAAUUUUGUUGCUUCUUCAAUGUAAGAAGUUAGAACUUUAAAUCUUUCAGUGUAUAUAGAAAUUUUUACUACAAAUCUUUGCUCUCAAAAUGAGCUUUAAUAUUUGGGGAGUAGCUGUUAGACUACUCCAGAAAAGAAUAUUUGAAACUAAUUUUAAGCUACUAAGGAUAUGUUAAUUGGCUAAGUACCUCACCUUACCAGAGGACUUAGGUCCUUGUUUGUUAUCCACAUUGGAGAUAAAGCUUCAGUUGUGUUAAUACAAAAUUGUAGGCUAGAGUCAUGGAAGUAUUUUAAAAAGAAACUUGGUGAAACAUAUCUUAUUCCAAACAACAGUUAAUUGGUUAUUACAAAAUACUGAUAUUUGGCCUAUUACAUAUACAAAUUUUUCAGGCAAAAUUGAUAAUUUUACUCUUUGCAUGCUUUUGUAUUUCCUGUAAACAAAAUUACAUGCUGUAGCCACUGUUUUUAAAUGUUAAAAAAAUCAAGCUUUCAAUUCAUAUACUGAUAGCCAAUGUGUGGCUUGUGGUUUUACAAUUGAUUAAAAAGUUUUCCUUUUUCUUUUUAGAUACUACUAGCCCUCAAAUUUUACAAUUACUUAAUGCUUUAUUAGAGGCAGGUAUUCUACUUGAAAUCAGUGAAUGAUGAUUUCAGUGUGAAUGUCUGACAACUCACUGUCCUUUCAGUGCUCUGGCUCAGACAACUAAACAAAACCAUAGACCCAGCUCUUUGAAAAUGGUAAUGGAGGGGGUUGGGGAUUUAGCUCAGUGGUAGAGCACUUGCCUAGCAAGCUCAAGGCCCUGGGUUCGGUCCCCAGCUCUGGAAAAAAGAAAGAAAAAAGAAAAUGGUAAUGGAGUUGAUAACACACCCUCACGAAAAGAGGAAGACUCCAUUUGCUUGCUUUAAAUUCUCAGCCUCGCCCUGCCAGCUCAGGGAUUUCUAGUACGACUAAAUUUAGACAAUAUUUACAGGAUUUGACAUUUCUAAUUAAUGCUUAUGUUUAGGUAAAUAAAGUUUGUGAGGUGCUAGAGAGAUGGCUUAGUGGUUAAGAACAUGAAAUACUGUUCCUUUAUAGGCCAUUUGGGAACUCAAACUAGAUUACCUGGACCCCUUAACGAGGGAGGACAAUGAUACUAGACAGUUUAUAUCUUAAUAAAUAAAAAGGGGGAGUUAUAUCCCUGUAUGCUAUGUAUGCUAUACAAUUAUUUAAUAAUACUCCUUUUAUUUCCAAUUUUAAAAUUUGGAUGCCAAGGAACUCUGAGUGUUUAUGGCACCCUACAACUAGGCAUACUUCUGCCUAGGUGAAAUAGAAAGAUCCAUAUAUUGGCAUGAUCCUGUCCAAAUAUUUUAUAUGGGGAAGAGGGAAUGUUUGUGUUUUUUCUACAGGAUGCUACAAGAGUAUGCCAGCUGCCAGAGGUGGUUGCUGAGACUUGCUGAUCCUGGUUGCAUGUAGAUUCAGCUCUUGUGGUUCAGGUCCCUAGAGUCAUUCCUCUGCCCUGAGAGGAAGAUAGAAGAUCCUCCCUCAUCUUUUGUCAUCACAGAGAUUUUGGCGUUGCUGCAGUCAGUGUUACCACUGAGUAUGUCCCGUCCCACUGUGGCCUGCACUCCAACCCUCUGUGCACUGCUGCUUGCUGGAGAAGAUUAGAGUCCAGCUGUUACCCCUGACCCCCUCAUUCCCCUGGUGACUUUUGCUGCCUUAACUGGUGUUGUCAUCUUGCAGUCUGUAGCUUCACAGGAAUGCCAUCUGCGUGAAGCUGCUGUGGACUGGGGAACUCUGCCCUGGUUAUGCAGAUCUCAGACAUGGUUCCAUUGCCUGCUGAUUGUUCCAGAGAAGAAUGGCUGAUCCUGAACUGUCCUGGGAAAGACCUUGUUACUUUCGCUGCUAUUGUAGCAUCCAUUUACUGCUAUAGCCAUUGUGUCUACAGUGUUUGGAGUUACCCUCCCCCAUUCUAUUGUUAGACAAACACAGUGGGUGAACUUUCUGGAGUAGUUGCUAACAAUUGGGAGUUCAAAUUUUUAUUAUAGGAGCGGCUUGACUACGGCCCUUGGUGGUAACAGCUGAGGUGAACCAAAUGAGGUGCCCACUACUUAUCGGGAGUGGCUCUGUUUGGUGCAGCCCUAUGCUGUGGAUUAGUGUUCAUGCUAUGGUUGGUUUGCAAACUCAGAUCUCAACAGAAACGUGACAAGGCCGUUAUCACUCAAGCACUUGUGGCCAUUGUACAAGGGGCCUCCCCUAAAAUUUGGUUAUCUAUCCUCAAAAAUUAGUCGGUAUCUGAGUUCUCUGCUCUUGCACCCCAUGGAUCUGUGGAUCCAUUGCACUGGGAUGAGAGAGACUCAAUGAUUCUUUGAUCAGCCCUUCCACAUCGCUGAGGUUUCCUCAUUGCAUGCGAUAGGGUGAUCAUGAUUUCCCCACUAACUCAUUUUCUGGCUGGCCUCUUUUUAAGAGUUCGCCCUAGGUCGUUAACAGUUACUGUCACACAGCACUGUGGUAUCCAGAGACAGGCAACUUUCCUCAUGCACAGUACAUGGGGCCUGGUGGCGAUAGGGUUACCCUUCGACGGAUAAGACUGUGACAUAGAGGAAUGACCUAAGACAGGAGCCACAGCAGAUGGACGUAACUGCAGAGACCUAGACCAGCCUAGACAAUAAUUUACUGUUAUUAAUUAAUAAAACAAUAAGGGGGAGUUGUAGAGGGCCGCAAUAACAUUCGCCACCACAAGAUGGCGCUGGCUUCCACUGCGCCCCACGUGGAAAGUCGGGAUAGCUUUCGCCAUUACAAGAUGGUGCUGGCCUCUGCCGCGCCAGCCGACUUCCUUUCAGGAAGUUAACUGUGUGCGCAUGUGCAAGAGUGCCUUCAUGCCAGGUCUUUGCCCACCCCAGGGCGUGCCUAAUGAGAUCAUGGGUAAGCGACCAAUCAGGCGUGGACACGCCACGUUAGGGUGUAUAUAAGCAGCGCCAGUCUGGGGCUCGCUCUCUCCUCUUCAACAUGUAAUAAUCGCUUUGCUGAAGAAGGAUCCUGGUGUCCGCGCGUGUUCUUGCUGGCGAAACGAUAGUGCGCGACAGUCUGUCUGCCUGUCUAUCUGUAUACACACUGUGAACUCUAUAUUAUCUGUGUCAUUGUGCUUGUCACUCUCUGCUCCUAUUUUCUCCCAAGGCUACGGGGUGGGGGGUUGAAGCAGAGGGCCAAGAUUCAGAAAGGAGAGUGUGGAGUCUGAAGGGAAGCUUGCCCUGAGGUUCAGGGUUGAGCAUGGGAGGAGCAUUUGAGGAUGGAAGUGCCUCUAGGGUUGAUGAAGAGGGCAGCUACUUGUUGAGCUUCCUGACUUUCUCAGAGCCCCCAUGUGAGUGUUGAGGGAAGUAAGUAAAGUGCUCACUGACGAUGCUCUCGGAUACAGUCUGGGAUCUCAGGCUUUCUCAGGCUCCCCCACCCUCGGCCAUUGCUGCACAUCUAAAUUCAAGAAUGAGUUUGCACUUUCUCUCUGCUUGAGAAUUGAGGUUUUAGUUUUAGAAUAUGGAAUUGUCAGUAACUCAAGGAGGAACCUGCAAAUUGAUAACCUCCACCACUGUCCCUUACAUUGUCCCUGCCCUUUCCACUUAGAAUUCACAUUAUCCUUUCAGCGAUCCGGGACAUCUUCUCUCUACAAUCUCUUCCUUUUCCCAAGAUGUUGUAAAUAGUAAUCCCCUGAGGUUAGCUUUAGGGCUUUCAAACUCCAAUUUGCUAAAUCGAUUCUUAUUUUGAUAGUGUCACACGUGAAAUGGCCUUUGAUUUUACAGAUUUUCUUUCAAAGCAAGGGAAGAAUGUAGGCGGUAGAUGAUCUGUUGGGGGGCGGUUGGGAGUGGGAAAGUCAUAGCACUGAAUUUGACAUUUAAUCUCUCUCUCUCUCUCUCUCUGUGUGUGUGUGUGUGUGUGUGUGUGUGUGUGUGUGUGUGUGUGUGUGUGUAGUGAGUAAUAUUGGCCAGAUCCAGGUGAGCAAUGUGGUUGGAUGUGGACAUGUGGGUCUGUGGUAUCCUGGUUGGAGUCUUGGUUCUGUCCCCUCUGGCUCUCUAGUUCUGUCAUGAACCUUAGAAUGCCUGUGGUGAAGCCUGUGAGUGCAGUGACACCAUACACUAAGGGCCUGGUGAGCUUUAGUUGUUGCUCUGUGAGGCCAUUUUGGGUUCAUUCUCCUCAGUGUACUUCGGGACAAGGGAGCAUGGGAAAUAAAGUGAUUACUGGCUGGAUAUUUAAGAAAGGAACUCAAAAAGAAAAGCUAGGCUUUGUGGUGUACAUUUUAAUCUCAGCACUUGUGAGGUAGAAGCAGGAGGAUCACUAUGAGUUCAAGGUCAGCUUGGUUCACAUAACAAGGUCCAGGCUAGUGGGGCUGCACAGUGAAGCCUUGUCUGAAGAACAAUAAGGAAAAGAAAGGAAACGUUAAUGCAAGGCGAAUUUUCUUACUUUCCAGAUAAAAUUCUCCAUAUUGUGUAAAGCAUGGUAUUUUGAAGUUUUUGUAUACUUUGGGAUGAUAAGUUUAGAAAAAAAAAAACAAACCACUUAUGGGUAUUUUCUCUGCAUGUCUGAUACUUGAGGAAGCAAAAGAGGGUAGCGAAUCCCCUGAAAGUGGAUUUAGUGAUGGUUGUGAGCCGCCAUGUGGAAGCUGGGAAUUAAAACCCAUCUGCUGCAAGAACAAAAAGUGAACUCUGACCCCUGUGCCAGCUCCACAGCCAUCUGAUGACGGACACUCCUAACAGACUUGAGGAGGCCUCCCACUGUGACUUUAACAUCCAUGGUUGCCCAUGUUUUAAUUAGCAUGUUUCCUGAUCAGCGAAUUGUAUAUGUGUCUUAUAAAGUGACUGUGCAGGAAUUCAGAUGUCAACUCCUUGUCUAGUUUAUAGUUGGCAAUAAUUCUCUCCCACUCUCUAGAUUAUCUCUCUGUUGAUUGUUUCCUUUGCUGUGUAAAGCUUUUUAGUUUGAUAUGAAUCCCAAUUGUGCAUUUUGCUUUUGUUACUUGUGUUUUUGGAGUAAUAACCCAAACCUUCCAGCUUCUCGAAGACGUCCUUCAUAUGUUUUCUAGUAGUGUCAGCUUCAGUUUGUAGAUUAUAGUCUGUUUUGAGAGGACUUACACCCGUGAAGGUCCAGUGUCACUGUACUCAGUGCUGAAGUUGAGUUCAACCAGCGCCACUGACUACAGCGCCACAGAGGCCAGGCUGGCCUGAGACUUGGAGCAAACCUCCUGCCUCUACCUCCCCAGGGCUGGAAUAUAGACCUAUGCUGUCACUUCCAGCAGAACCGCCUGUACUUUAACCUCUGGCCUUCAGUCACCAACUUUAUGAAGCAUAAACAGUUAUAAAUGUCAUGAGCUUAUACUGACCUGUCACAGAAAUGAAAAGAUGGGGGCUGUGGUGAUGGCUGAGUGGGUGCAGUGCAUGCAAGCAUGCAGCUGCGCAGUGCCAGAUGCAGCAGUGCACGUCUGUAGUCCCAGCCCUCCUAUGACAAGACGGGAGGGGAUGAGAGAAUCUCUGGCAGGCUGGCUAGCCCGGUGUAUGCAGAGGCAGGAGGGAAGGGAGGGUAAAGAUAGAAGGAAAAUUUGUUUGUAAAUUUUCUGGGCAUAUAAAAAUAUAAAAUUUCAUAAGAUUAUCAGAUGUGUACUUCAGAGGUCCCCUUGCAGCACCUAAGGCAUUGCUGGCACACCAGCUCCAAAUCAGCCAUUGCCAGAACAGGGAACUUCAAUAGUGAGCUGUGUCUGUGGCUCACAGCUCCCAAGUAGCUCAAUUUUAGCUUUGCAGCUUUUAACUUGAUCAUUUUUUCUACUCAAAUCUCUCAGAUUGCUUUCAUCCCUGCACAGUGUAUAAUCCAAUGUGUCGAAGUCUUCUUUUGUAAUCUGCCAUGCAACGUGAUGCAUGUGGAUGCCAUGUUUUCUCAUGCAGUUCUGCCCCCCAUAGUCGGGGGGGGGUCUCCACUUCAUAGGUGGAUGUAGCCACACUGUCUAUCCUCAUUAUCUGAAACCUUUCCAUCAGUUACCAAUUUCCUGAACACUGCUUCUACAAUGGGUGACUAGCAAAUGUUACCAAGACAUGAACAGCGCUGACUUGGACCCAACCUCUGCCAUGUUUUGGUGCAGACCCUGGCGCUCAGAAACCGCUCAGUAUCUGUUCUUAUGUCCUCUUUUCACCUAUAAUUUUCUUCAUUUGGAUCUUCUCUCUCCACUUUUUAGGUAAUUUGGCUAAGGGUUUGUUAGUCUUACUGAUUUUCUCAAAGAACCAACUCAAUCAACUUUCAUUGAUUCUUUGUAUUAUUUCAAUAUUGUUGUUACUGCUAUUGUUUCUGUUUUACAGAAGUUAGCCCUGACUUUAAUUAUUUCCUGCCUUCUACUCCCUUUGGGUGUAAUCUCAUCUUUCUAUUCUAGAGCUUUUGGUGUGGGGUCAAGUUGCUAGAGUGAGACCUCUCUAAUUUUUUGAAUGUAGGUACAUAGCAUUAUGAACUUCUCUCUUAGAAUGCCUCCAUCAUACCCUCUAAGUGUGGGUGUAUGGUGUCUUCACUUUCAUUCAAUUCUAGGAAAUCCUUAAUUUCUUUUAUAAUUUCUGUCUUGACCCAGUUUCCAUUCAGCUUGACCCAGCUUUGUUCAGUUUCCAUGAGUUUGUAAGCUUCCUGAGGUUUCUGUUGUUAUUGAUAUCCAGCUUUAACCCAUGGUGGUUGCAUAUUUACCAGGUAUUAUUUUAUUUCUUUAUAUCUUUUGAUACUUACUUUGUGUCCAAGCAUAUGGUCAAUGGAGAAAGUUCAAUGAGGUACUGAAAAGAAGGUAUAGUCUUUGAUGUUUGGAUGAAAUGUUUUGUAGUUAUCCGUUGGAUCCAUUUGGUUUCUAACAUCAAGUUAGCUCCUGCAUUUCUCUAUUUAGCUUUUGUCUGGAUGACCUGCCAUUGGUGAGAGCUGGAUAUGGCAGUCUCCCAUUAUUAGUGUCUGAGUCUCGAUAUGCGAUUUAAACUAUAGUAUUGUUUCUUUUAUGAACUUGGGUGCCCUGUGUUUUAUGCAUAGAAGUUGGUGGAUUUUUUUUUCUUUGAUGAGCAUGUAGAAUCCCCCCUAUCUCUUCUAUUUAGUUUUGGUUUGAAGUCUAUUUUAUCAGAUUUUUUUAUUUUAAAAUCUGUAUAAUACACUUUUUUCCUUCAUUUUUUAUUGGAUGUUUUCUUUAUCUACAUUUCAAAUUUUAUCCCCCUUUCCAGCUCCUCUCCUCUACCAACUCCCCUCCCCACCCCUGCUUCUAUGAAAAUGCUCAGUCACCCACCCACUCCCUCCCACCUUCCUGCCCUGGAAUUCCCCUACACUGGGGCAUCAAGCCUUCAGAGGACCAAGGGCCUCUCCCCCCACUGAUGCCCAACAAGGCCAUCCUCUGCUGAAGCAAUGGGUCACUCCAUGUAUACUUUUUGGUGAUGGUUUAGUCCCUGGGAUCUCUGGUAUGUCUGAUUGGUUGAUAUUGUUGUUCUUCCUAUAGUGUUGCAAACCCGCUCAGCUACCUUAGUCCUUUCUCUAACUCCUCCAUUGUGGACCCUGUUCUCAGUCCAGUGGUUGGCUUCAAGCAUAGCCCCUGUAUUUGUCACGCACUGACAGAGCCUCCUGUUAGCUUGCCCUUUUUGUCAUCCCCAGUAGUGUCUGGGUUUGAUGACUGCAUGUGGGAUGGAUUCCCCAAGUGUGGCAGUCUCUGGAUGACCUUUCCUAUAGUCUCUGCUCCACACUUUGUCUCCAUAUUCCCUCAUGUGAGUAUUUUCUUCCUCCUUCUAAGAAGGACUGAAACAUCCAGACUUUGGACUUUCUUCUUCUUGAGCUUCCAUGUGGUCUGUGAAUUGAGUCUUGGGUAUUCCGAGCUUUUGGGCUAAUAUCCACUUAUUAGUGAGUGCAUAUCAUGUGUGUUCUUUUGUGAUUGGGUUACCUCACUCAGGAUGAUAUUUUCUAGUUUCAUCCAUUUGCCUAAGAAUUUCACAAGUCAUUGCUUUCAAUAGCUGAGUAGUACUCCAUUGUGUAGAUGUACCACAUUUUCUGUAUCUGUUCCUUAGUUGAAGGGCAUCUAGGUUCUUUCCAGCUUCUGGCUAUUAUAAAUAAGGCUGCGACGAACAUAGUGGAGCAUGUGUCCUUGUUAUAUGUCAGAGAAUCUUUUGGGUAUAUGCCCAGGAGUGAUAUAGCUGGGUCCUCGGGUAGUACUAUGUCCAAUUUUCUGAGGAACUGCCAGACUGAUUUUCAGAGUGGUCUUAAAAUGACUACUUCAGCUUGUUUCUUGGGACUGUUUGCCUGGAAAACCCUUUUCCAGCCUUUUACUCUGAGGUAAUGUCUAUCUUUGUUGCUAAGGUGUGUUUCUUAGAUACAGCAGAAAGAUGGAUCAUGUCUGGGUCUUUUUAUUGGGGUAUUGAGGAUAUUAAUAUUGAAAGAUAUCAAUGAACAUUGUUUUGCUUCUUUUUCUUUUGUUGUGGUGGUAAUUUAUGUUUCUCUUCUUUGAGUUGCUGCCCUUACUUUAUUUAUUCCUUGUGUCUUCUUAGGUAUAAUUAACCUCUUUAGGUUAGUGUUUUCCUCCUAGUGUCUCCUAGUUGAUUUCUGCGCUCACCCCUGGAAAUUUUUGUUGACAAUCUAUACAGCUUGACUUGCAUCCAACUCUUGAUCCUCCUGAAUCAGCUUUACACUUACUUAGGAUUUCAGCAUGCAUUUCCACUCCCAACUCUAAAACAUAUUUUUUAUGGUGAAAAAAAAGUGUGUAUUUAAAAUUAGCUAUCUGGACUCACUUUAGAUUAUCCCAAUCUUGUUGGCAACAUCUAGAUCAUCAUAAUCAGGGGCCAAGCAAACAUAUGCCUUCUUCUCUCCAUCAGGUCUUAUCAGGGUAUUGACUUUGGCCACAUCAAUGUCAUAGUUUCUUCAUUGCCUGUUUGAUCUGGUGCUUGUUGGCCUUGACAACCACAACAAACACAAGCCUGUUGUUGCCUUCUAUUUUCUUCAUGGCUGACUCAGUGGUUGGUGGGAAUUUGACGAUAGCAUAGUGGUAAAGCUUGUUUCUCCUAGGUGCACUCUUUUGAGGAUAUUUUGGCUGCUUCCAGAGCCACAGGGUCUUGGGCUGAUGGAAAGUGGUUGAUAUUUGGAUCUUCUUUUUGUGGCUGUGGACACCUUUCUGCACUGCCUUCCUAGCUUUCAAGGCCUUCGCUUUGGCUUUGGGGGGGGGGGCAGGAGCUUCCUUCUUCGAUUUCAAUGCCAUCUUGGUGAAAAGGCUCUAAAACAUAUUCUUCAUGGUACAGUCUCAAAUAUCUAUUUAUACAGAAAAGCAGAUCAACCUUGUAAAUUGUUGACAAUUUUCAAUCUAGGUAAGGAUACAGAUGUGUAUAGUUGACAAUUCCAAGUUUUUCAUAUGGAUAAAAAAAUUUCACCGGGGUUGGGGAUUUAGCUCAGUGGUAGAGCGCUUGCCUAGCAAGCCCAAGGCCCUGGGUUCGGUCCCCAGCUCCAAAAAAAAAUUUCACACAUGUAUUUUUAUAAGUGGUUUCAAUCGGCUAUUUUUGUUAAUAUGUUAUAGGGAUCCCACCAUAGAAAACCAUUCAAACACAGUUUACUUCAAAAUUAAAGUCUUUAUUCCAGUCAGCUCUGAGUACAUUCAUGUAUUUGGAACCCAAGUAUAGCCCCAGCAUUUAGAGGAAAACCCAUAUCCUAUUAUCUUGUUCGGGAGCUACAGGGGGAGCUUUUGGACAAGCAGGUAGUUUAAUAGUACCCAAAAUAAGCAGAUAGCUGGAGGGAGAGGUUUAAACACACAGGGCACUUAACAGAAGCCAGGCUAAAUUAGCAGAGGUAAUUUGAACUCCAGUUUCUAAGUAGAGUAGGACAAUUUUCCACAAGAUUCUCCACAAGGAAAUUCUAGUCAAAUUCUAGUCAAACCUGAAAUAACCUUAGCAAGAAUAAGAGAUGGAGGAGCCUGUGGACUUCCUUGUCUUAUCAAAAAAUGUAUACUUACAUGUGGGCAGAAGGCAUGAAAUAUAGGGUUUUACAUUUUGAGAUUUUUAUGGGUUUCAUCAAUAGAAAGUACUUAUUCAUAAAUGACUGUGUUUUUUAAAAUGUCCACACAAAUACGUAAGGAAUGGGGACAAUUCAAUCCUUUCAUGUUCAUGCAUCGGAUGUGUCCAGAAUGAAAAUAUUUAAAAUGUAAUAGUGAGUAAAGCAUGAGACUUUCCUAAACUGUCUAAAGUGCAAUUAAGUUUUCAUGUCAGUUAUAUUAAUGCUCAUAAAAGGAGAAAAUCUUAAAAGCUCUUUUAAAGACCAUGAGAACUAACCAAAUACUCUGAAGGAUUUUAUUAUCUAUUAUAACCCCAUUGCUACAACUUAGGCUGGUACUAUGCUGCCAUUAACAAAUUAUGCAAGAAGAAAGUAAACAUCCAGUGUGAUAUCAUAGGACCCAUGGAAUAUUAAUGGUGACAAGGAAAACAUCUCAGUUGCAAUAACUGUUUUCCCUAAAUUGAUUAUCCUGGGUGACUAUUGAUUGAUGAAUAAAAUUUAUACAAUAAGAGGAAAGUAAAUCAAGAUCAUGGUCACUAUCUUGAAUUUCUGACAUGAAAAUACAAUCUCACCAAAUAUCUUCUCUGAACAACCCACUUCCCACCUCAUUCUAAAGAGUUUCUUGGCAGCAACAGUAUAUGAAUAUACUAAUUUCACCAUAUCCAGGGCAGAUUAAAGUACCCACAUUAUUUUAAGUCAUAGUAUUCCCAAUAUGAGCACCCUGAUAUUCAGUAAAAUUUUCAUACAAUGGCUUAUCCACCUUCCUUACAUGCAUCGGACUCCUGGCUAUUACAGAUUUCCUUGUGUUGUGUAAACUCAUCAUUUACAAUAAAAGCUUUUCCUGAUUCUUCUCACUCA